AGCUCCAAUAGCGUAUAUUAAAGUUGUUGCGGUUAAAAAGCUCGUAGUUGGAUUUCUGCCGAGUAUCUGGUGGUUCAUACCAUGUAUGCAAUCUACUGUGAACUUGGCAUCCUCGUAAAAUUCGCAUGUGCUCUUAAUUGGGCGUGUGUGGGAUUUACGACUUUUACUUUGAGGAAAUUGGAGUGUUUACGGCAAGCAAAUGCUUUGAACAUAUUAGCAUGGAAUAAUAAUAUAGGACCUUGGGGCUAUUUUAUUGGUUUCUAGAACUGAGGUAAUGAUUAAUAGGGUCAGUUGGGGGCAUUCGUAUUAACGCGUCAGAGGUGGAAUUCUUGGAUUGCGUUACGACGAACUACUGCGAAAGCAUUUGCCAAGGAUGUUUUCA
rnacentral:rRNA from 1 species